CCUCUUUGACGUUCUUGAAAAUUAUUAAUUGUCCCCAAUUAUCGAAAAGAUGCCAAAUGGAUACUGGUUUGGACUGUCCUAAUAUUGCUCACAUUGAACGCAUUUGGAUUGAAGAUGGAGGCAUUGUGGAAACUGGCAGGGGUUUUUGAGAGUGAAGAGGCACAAAACUGUGGUGCUAUAUGCAAAGGCAUGGAGUUGAGCGAUGUUGGUGUUUCUAGGCUUGGUGGUGAUACUGUUUCUCCAUUCUUUAUUAUGCUUUGUUGUAUUCCUUUUGGUGUGUUUUAGACUUUAACUUUGGACUUGUUUUUGUUGUUGUUGGGUGGUUUCUUCUGAUCUGCUCCUUUGUUUCUACUUUCUUUUGCCUUUGGACUAUGCUGUCUUUUGUUCCACGGCAUCUCUAUACUUAUGCUUAGCUAAAAAUGUAUGUUUGUACA